rnacentral:rRNA from 1 species
AUACGUAGGGUGCAAGCGUUAAUCGGAAUUACUGGGCGUAAAGCGUGCGCAGGCGGUUUUGUAAGACAGAGGUGAAAUCCCCGGGCUCAACCUGGGAACUGCCUUUGUGACUGCAAGGCUAGAGUACGGCAGAGGGGGGUGGAAUUCCGGGUGUAGCGGUGAAAUGCGUAGAUAUGCGGAGGAACACCGAUGGCGAAGGCAAUCCCCUGGGCCUGUACUGACGCUCAUGCACGAAAGCGUGGGGAGCAAACAGGAUUAGAUACCCUGGUAGUCCACGCCCUAAACGAUGUCAACUGGUUGUUGGGUCUUCAUUGACUCAGUAACGAAGCUAACGCGUGAAGUUGACCGCCUGGGGAGUACGGCCGCAAGGUUGAAACUCAAAUGAAUUGGCGGGG